GGGGGGGAAUGGCAUGCUUACACAUGCAGUCGUACGAGAAGUUUUACUUCAAGUGGCGGACGGGUGAGUAACACGUAACCAUUUACCUUUAGGAGGGGGACAACAACUGGAAACGGUUGCUGCCAUCCCAUAUGCUUUCGAGUGAAAUGGAUUUUUCCGCCUAGAGAGAAGCUUGCGGCUGAUUAGCUUGUUGGUGAGGUAAUGGCUCACCAAGGCGACGAUCAGUAUCUGGUUUGAGAGGAUGAUCAGACACACUGGAACUGAGACACGGUCCAGACUCCUACGGGAGGCAGCAGUGGGGAAUUUUCCGCAAUGGGCGAAAGCCUGACGGAGCAAUCUCGCGUGAAGGAUGACGGCCUAUGGGUUGUAAACUUCUUUUUUCAGGGAGGAACAAAAUGACGUGUACCUGAAGAAUAAGCAUCGGCUAACUCCGUGCCAGCAGCCGCGGUAAGACGGAGGAUGCAAGUGUUAUCCGGAAUCACUGGGCGUAAAGCGUCUGUAGGUGGUUUAGUAAGUCAACUGUUAAAUCUUGAAGCUUAACUUCAAAAUCGCAGUCGAAACUAUUAGACUUGUGUAUAGUAGGGGUAAAGGGAAUUUCCAGUGGAGCGGUGAAAUGCGUAGAGAUUGGAAAGAACACCGAUGGCGAAGGCACUUUACUGGGCUAUUACUGACACUCAGAGACGAAAGCUAGGGUAGCAAAUGGGAUUAGAUACCCCAGUAGUCCUAGCCGUAAACAAUGGAUACUAGAUGUUGAACAGAUCGACCUGUGCAGUAUUAAAGCUAACGCGUUAAGUAUCCCGCCUGGGAAGUAUGCUCGCCAGAGUGAAACUCCAA
rnacentral:rRNA from 1 species